rnacentral:rRNA from 1 species
UAUCAACUAAGCGGAGCAAAAGGGUCCCUGCAUUGCACUAGGCUGGAACAUAAGAGGCNCNCUNCACUUUAAUUAUGCAGGCCCCACCAUAUGUUCCUUGGAACAGGACGAUCAUAAACGGGUGAGAAUCCCGUGCGAUGGGGUGUCCAUUCUUUGUAGUUUCCUUCGACGAGUCGAGUUGUUUGGGAAUGCAGCUCUAAGUGGGUGGUAAAUUCCAUCUAAAGCUAAAUAUUGGCGAGAGACCGAUAGCGAACCCCUCCAGUGAUGGAAAGAUGAAAAGAACUUUGAAAAGAGAGUGAAAAAGUACGUGAAAUUGUUGAAAGGGAAGGGUAUUUGAUCAGACUUGGUAUUAGAAUAUGGCAGCUCUCGGGUUGUCCUCUAUUCUUUUACUGGGCCAGCAUCGGUUCGGAUGGCAAGAUAAUUACGUUUGAAUGUGGCUCCUCGGAGUAUUAUAGCUUUCGUAGAUAUUGCCUGUCUGGACCGAGGACUGCGUCUUUUGACUAGGAUGCUGGCGNAAUGAUUAAAUACU